GACAGAGGCCUCGAGCGUUAGGCGGAAUCACUGGGCUUAAAGCGUGUGUAGGCGGAUCGUUAAGUACCUUGUGAAAUCCCACGGCUCAACCGUGGAACGGCUGGGUAUACUGGCGGUCUUGGGCCAUUCAGGGGCGACUGGAACAAGCGGUGGAGCGGUGAAAUGCGUAGAUAUCGUUUGGAACGCCAAUGGUGAAAACAGGUUGCUGGGAGUGUGCUGACGCUGAGACACGAAAGCCAGGGGAGCAAACGGG
rnacentral:rRNA from 1 species